CCCUUAGAUGUCCUGGGCCGCACGCGCGCUACACUGACGCACGCAACAGGUGCCUGCUCCGAGAGGACUGGGUAAUCAUUUGAGUGUGCGUCGUGAUGGGGAUAGAAUAUUGUAAUUAUUACUCUUCAACGAGGAAUUCCUAGUAAGCGCCAGUCAGCAGCUUGCGCUGAUUACGUCCCUGCCCUUUGUACACACCGCCCGUCGCUCCUACCGAUGGGUGAUCCGGUGAAUGAUUCGGACUUCAGCGGCUCCCCUGGGGUGCGCCGGAGAAAGUUUUGUGAACCUUAUCACUUGGAGGAAGGAGAAGUCGUAACA
rnacentral:rRNA from 1 species